UACAGAGGGGGCAAGCGUUGUUCGGAAUUACUGGGCGUAAAGGGCGCGUAGGCGGCCUGCUAAGUCGAACGUGAAAUCCCCGGGCUCAACCCGGGAACUGCGUCCGAUACUGGCAGGCUUGAAUCCGGGAGAGGGAUGUGGAAUUCCAUGUGUAGCGGUGAAAUGCGUAGAUAUCUGGAGGAACACCGGUGGCGAAGGCGGCAUCCUGGACCGGUAUUGACGCUGAUGCGCGAAAGCCAGGGGAGCAAACGGG
rnacentral:rRNA from 1 species